AGCAGCCGCGGUAAUUCCAGCUCCAAUAGCGUAUAUUAAAGUUGUUGCAGUUAAAAAGCUCGUAGUUGAACUUCAGGCCUGGCUGGGCGGUCCGCCUUCCGGGUGAGUACUGCCUGUGGUCGGGUCCUACCUUCUGGCGAAGCGUCAUGGCCUUAACCGGCCGUGGCGGGGAACCAGGACUUUUACUGUGAAAAAAUUAGAGUGUUCAAAGCAGGCACGCGCUUGAAUACAUUAGCAUGGAAUAAUGGAAUAGGACAGUGGUUCUAUUUGUUGGUUUCUAGGACCGUUGUAAUGAUUAAUAGGGAUAGUGGG
rnacentral:rRNA from 1 species